CCGCAUUCUUAGAAAACCCCCCCGUAGUUUAUCGUAGCUGCGGGGACAAGGAAGAAUGCAAGAACAAUCCUAGAAUGAAGCAAAGCUAAAAGCCUCACUGUGGUAGCUCUUAGCACGUCUACCUCUUGGACACUG